UACAGGGGGGGCAAGCGUUGUUCGGAAUUACUGGGCGUAAAGGGCCAGUAGGCGGCCAACUAAGUCCGACGUGAAAUCCCCAGGCUUAACCUGGGAACUGCGUCGGAUACUGGAUGGCUUGAAUUCGGGAGAGGGAUGCAGAAUUCCAGGUGUAGCGGUGAAAUGCGCAGAUAUCAGGAGGAACACCGGUGGCGAAGGCGGGACUCUGGGCCGAUACUGACGCUGAGGAGCGAAAGCGUGGGGAGCAAACAGG
rnacentral:rRNA from 1 species